rnacentral:rRNA from 1 species
AUGAACGCUAGCUACAGGCUUAACACAUGCAAGUCGAGGGGCAGCAUGGUCUUAGCUUGCUAAGGCCGAUGGCGACCGGCGCACGGGUGAGUAACACGUAUCCAACCUGCCGUCUACUCUUGGACAGCCUUCUGAAAGGAAGAUUAAUACAAGAUGGCAUCAUGAGUCCGCAUGUUCACAUGAUUAAAGGUAUUCCGGUAGACGAUGGGGAUGCGUUCCAUUAGAUAGUAGGCGGGGUAACGGCCCACCUAGUCUUCGAUGGAUAGGGGUUCUGAGAGGAAGGUCCCCCACAUUGGAACUGAGACACGGUCCAAACUCCUACGGGAGGCAGCAGUGAGGAAUAUUGGUCAAUGGGCGAGAGCCUGAACCAGCCAAGUAGCGUGAAGGAUGACUGCCCUAUGGGUUGUAAACUUCUUUUAUAAAGGAAUAAAGUCGGGUAUGGAUACCCGUUUGCAUGUACUUUAUGAAUAAGGAUCGGCUAACUCCGUGCCAGCAGCCGCGGUAAUACGGAGGAUCCGAGCGUUAUCCGGAUUUAUUGGGUUUAAAGGGAGCGUAGAUGGAUGUUUAAGUCAGUUGUGAAAGUUUGCGGCUCAACCGUAAAAUUGCAGUUGAUACUGGAUAUCUUGAGUGCAGUUGAGGCAGGCGGAAUUCGUGGUGUAGCGGUGAAAUGCUUAGAUAUCACGAAGAACUCCGAUUGCGAAGGCAGCCUGCUAAGCUGCAACUGACAUUGAGGCUCGAAAGUGUGGGUAUCAAACAGGAUUAGAUACCCUGGUAGUCCACACGGUAAACGAUGAAUACUCGCUGUUUGCGAUAUACAGCAAGCGGCCAAGCGAAAGCGUUAAGUAUUCCACCUGGGGAGUACGCCGGCAACGGUGAAACUCAAAGGAAUUGACGGGGGCCCGCACAAGCGGAGGAACAUGUGGUUUAAUUCGAUGAUACGCGAGGAACCUUACCCGGGCUUAAAUUGCAGAUGAAUUACGGUGAAAGCCGUAAGCCGCAAGGCAUCUGUGAAGGUGCUGCAUGGUUGUCGUCAGCUCGUGCCGUGAGGUGUCGGCUUAAGUGCCAUAACGAGCGCAACCCUUGUUGUCAGUUACUAACAGGUUCCGCUGAGGACUCUGACAAGACUGCCAUCGUAAGAUGUGAGGAAGGUGGGGAUGACGUCAAAUCAGCACGGCCCUUACGUCCGGGGCUACACACGUGUUACAAUGGGGGGUACAGAGGGCCGCUACCACGCGAGUGGAUGCCAAUCCCAAAAACCUCUCUCAGUUCGGACUGGAGUCUGCAACCCGACUCCACGAAGCUGGAUUCGCUAGUAAUCGCGCAUCAGCCACGGCGCGGUGAAUACGUUCCCGGGCCUUGUACACACCGCCCGUCAAGCCAUGGGAGCCGGGGGUACCUGAAGUGCGUAACCGCGAGGAGCGCCCUAGGGUAAAACUGGUGACUGGGGCUAAG